CAGUAGCCGCGGGAAUACGAAGGGGGCUAGCGUUGCUCGGAAUUACUGGGCGUAAAGGGAGCGUAGGCGGACAUUUAAGUCAGGGGUGAAAUCCCAGAGCUCAACUCUGGAACUGCCUUUGAUACUGGGUGUCUUGAGUGUGAUAGAGGUAUGUGGAACUCCGAGUGUAGAGGUGAAAUUCGUAGAUAUUCGGAAGAACACCAGUGGCGAGGGCGACAUACUGGAUCAUUACUGACGCUGAGGCUCGAAAGCGUGGGGAGCAAACAGGAUUAGAUACCCGCGUAGUCCCUGUCUCUUAUAC
rnacentral:rRNA from 1 species